UACGAAGGGGGCUAGCGUUGCUCGGAAUCACUGGGCGUAAAGCGCACGUAGGCGGAUUGUUAAGUCGGGGGUGAAAUCCUGGAGCUCAACUCCAGAACUGCCUUCGAUACUGGCGAUCUCGAGUUCGGGAGAGGUGAGUGGAACUGCGAGUGUAGAGGUGAAAUUCGUAGAUAUUCGCAAGAACACCAGUGGCGAAAGGCGGCUCACUGGCCCGAUACUGACGCUGAGGUGCGAAAGCGUGGGGAGCAAACAGG
rnacentral:rRNA from 1 species